rnacentral:other from 1 species
AUUCUCCUGCUCGGUACGUGAUGGUUUCUUUUUAAACCCACAUCUCUGAAACGGGACGCCCACCUCGCGCCGUGGCUUGCAGGCCUCCCGGCCUCCUUCGGGAGCGUUGGAAGUUGGAAGCAGUAAAGCGGUGCGGAGGCGACCCACCUGCCAUCUUCGUGCAGGUUUGAUCAGGGCCACACGGCCAGAGCGGGAGAUCU